CUUCCUCACAAUCUUUUUUGGUUAUUUUUUCCAUCAUUUAACGUCUUUUCUAAAAAGCUGCUUGAUCCGCCUGAUACGUUUGAUCCGCCUGAUAUGCUUGAUCUGUUCCGUUCGAUACGCUUUCUCCACAUUCCAAGUUAUUGUUCUUCUAUCUACCUUCCAACAAUGAAAAAACAUAAAAGCAUUUUUUCUUUUCUUUUCUAUUUUAGCAAUCCUUUGUGACCACUUCUGAAUCGUCUUUGAUUAUUGGGGAACCACACUAAUAGCCUAUAAAGAUUCUACCUUGUCCAUCUCGUGAAGCCAUUCUUUUUCCUCAACC